rnacentral:lncRNA from 1 species
GAGUAAACUGUGGACCUGGUGCUGCUGAUGCAAGGGCUUGUUUUCACUUUGUGAUAAAAUAAAAUACAACGCAAACUACACAAAAGCAAACCAGUUUUAUGUAUUCAUCACUCUGGACUGACCAUUACAAAGACACAUGCGCACAUACAGAGAUGCGUACAUGGUUUAAUUUGUAACGAUCAACACACACACACAUACAUGAGCGCAAGGUAGCAAACCACACACAUGCAUGCUGGAGAUGGAGCCAAACCGAUACACAUGAAUUUCGCUCAUCCUUAUUGUUGUCAAUCAAUCAUCACACACAAGCAGAGUAGCAGCAUGCAUCCAACUCCAACGAAGGCAAUCAGCAGUUACAGGGGUUGCACUUGCAGUUGUCACCGCAGCUGCAGCCGUGGGCGGUCUCGCCGGACUCCGCCGCCUCCUCGAACUGGGCCUUCUUCUCCGGGGCCACGCCGAGGACGACGGUGGCCUGGGCGGCGCUGCUCUUCUCCUCCAGGUCAGGGUACAUCUUGCUGCAACAAGUAGUGAACGCCAAAUUUUAGUAGUCUGUUGACAGCAGCAACAAGGAACUACGAACAGAUCGAUUAUUCUUCAGUCGACGACGCUUGAGUAUCUUGUUAAUCGAUAUCACAACGAACGAGAAGAAUAGAAUGAUGGAAUGAUUUAAUUUCCGUCAAAGAAAGGAGAUCAUGGAAUCUUAGAAGUAUUUGCAAGAAGCAUCAGCAAAGAAUAGAAUGAUGGAGAUGCAUAUAUUACGUACCCGCACUUGCAGCUCGAGCCGCAGUUGCAGCUUGAUCCGCAGCUGCAAGACAUCUUCAAGAAGCUGAAAACUCGGUGUGGAUGGAAAACAAGUGCUUUGAG